UGUGGGAUCACGACUGAAUCCAGAAGACACCGACCAGUACAGAAGAUGCGAUUUAUAUUCGUGUUAACGUGUCUUCUACUCCUGAACGAAAAUACACUUUUCCGGUAUGUAUAAAAUUGUUUCUUAGCGAUAUAAAAUUCAUUUUGCAAUUAAAACUAUAAUGCAACAUGCCGGUUCAGAAAAACGGACAAUAUGUUGAAACAAGAAAAAUUACAUGUUGGAGAAUUUUUGAAGUUUUGUAAUGUAAACUGUGUGGAAUUAGCUCCCUUCCCUGUAUGUUUUGUUGCUGACGUUACUAACUCUUUCUACAACAUCAAAGUUUAGAAAAAAGGAAUAUUGACCAAUAUGCAUUUUGGACUAAAGGAGAAUAGUUGCUCUUCAUGUUGCAUUUGCUUCAAGGUAUAUAUAACGAUGAUUAUCGGUUGCAUCAUUUUAACAGGCCCUCACCGUAUAGCGCCGGCAGCCAUCUAUCAAACGGUCCUAAACUAAAGGUCAAUAAUAUAAAGUAAUAUUGAAGUUUUCUGGAUCUUAACCACUUGAGAUCUUUAAUCAUUAAAUCAAAGUUUCAAAAUAAAAAAAUAAAUCCCUCUCAAUAAAUUUUUGUUUAUCUUUACAGGUCCAGAUACCAGUACAACAAAUACGCUGAUGCUGACAGAUCUGGACAUGAUGGAUUAUUUUGGGUAAUACUAUAAAAUGUUUGAUUUUGUAUUGUUUUAAUUUUCAUUUUAUUAUUUGCGCGGGAGAGGUUGUGGGUGCCCAAUAUCCUUCAAGUAUUGUUCGAGUUAUUUAUCCAUUUCAUUUUUGUAUGAUUGUAUAUUUUUUUAUGUAUCGUAUUUAGUAAAUAAGUCAAAGGAGUAGGUUCAGUAAGACCCCUUUUUGGUCCCAAAAUAUAACAGUUUUACAAAAUUGUUAAAAUGUCAACUUUUAGUUAUUUAUUGGACAGUAGAAUGCUUCUGCUACAUAAUUAUGGGCUGUUUUUGACAAUACAAUGCAUAUAUAUAUCCGGUACUAGCACCAUUAAGUCAUGCUAAAUUACUGAAAUCUUCACAAUUCUAGCAUUUUAGUUAAAUUUUAGACGGUUUUCGUGUAAAACGAAAGUGGCCGCAUUCGUGUUCAUCCUUAAUAUUGAAAUGCAAGUUGUAUUUGAUGAUAAUACAUAACAUAUCAUGUAUAUUGAGGAUGAACACGGAUGCGGCCACUUCCAUUUUUUCCAAAAACCAUCUGAAAAGUGACAUUUUUCGGCAUAUUUGGUAGAUUUUUCAUAUUUGAGCUUGCAUCGGAUCGUUUUUAAUGACUAAAUCAGUUAAAAUCUUUCCCAUAAACUAAUUAAUUCAAAUAAAAUAGACACUUAAGUAUUUAAAAAGUGGUCAAAAUCUUUCGUCAGAUUAACCUGAAAUUUGAGGCCAAAAUCGGUCCUUACCGGACCUACUCCUUUGAAACCCGACUACAAAGAAUAGCAUAUGCUAAACAAAAUGGCAAUAUUAUAAGAUGUAAAAUAAAAUCAGUGUGUUUAAAUAUUUAUGACCCAUCCCAUCAAAAUACCAACCAACAAGCGAAUGCAAAGAAAGAAAACUCAGAUAUUGGCAUAUACAUGAAUACGUCGACUCGCUCGCAUCAGUGAAAUGCAGAUUAGUACAUCAAAAUUCUUUUUGAGUUCAUAUUAAACUUGGAUUAAAUAAGAAAAUAUCAAAUACCAGCUCGAAUCUGCAUGCCUUCGAUUACCUCACAGUGAAAAUACUUCAUUUAUUGUUUUUCAAUAAAAACAAUAUCUAGGAUUAGGUUUUACAGGGAUUCAAAUGUACAUAUAUAUACAUGUACGUAAGUGUGAGACAUCAACCAAACUAAACACUUAAAUAGAAAAUGUAUCAAGAGACCAUUUUACCUGCUUUCAAGGUAAUCGAUUACACUAACACAUAGUGCGGUGACAGAAGUGUAAAAAGUCGUCUAGAUCGCGAGUUUAAUCUCCCUAAAUAACACACGGCUAAAAAUGGUCUUAACUUAAAGACAAAUAUGUCUUCUUUAGUUUUUGCCCUGUCGUCAGAAUUUCGUACGGUCACAUUUUUCUAAAAAGUCGUUUUAAUGACUAGUAGUAUAUUGGAGAGUUUCAACCCCCCCUUUUCAAAAUGAAAAAAUGUGUAUGUUUUCUCACAUUUAAUUGAAAUAGUUUUUCCUGAAGCCAUUUUUAUAUUUCAAAAUAAUAUAUUUAGUGUUUUAUUUUAUUCUAAUCUAUAAAAUUUGCGAAGUUUGGACUGUUUAAAAUUGAGGUAAUUUUAAUUGCAAAUUCAGACACAAACUUUGGUUUCUUCUUCAUAGCAGUAAUAAAAAUUAUCCCAUAAUACUUUAAGCAUAUAGUAUUUCAUAAAACUAAUAAGUGAUAAAAAUUUCGAAACCAAAAUAUGAAAAAAACCUUAAGAAAUCAAUGGAAAAAGAAUGGACUAAAAACUUCAAUUUCAACACGGAACUUAAUCACUUGCCUUCCGUCACAUUUUGUGUAUUAGUCAAUAAUUUGCUCUCAACUGACAUAUGGAAUUACUAUCUUUUUCGCUAUUAUAUACACAUAUUUUCAAUUAAAGUGAACAUAUAUGCCACAAACUUUGUUUGUAUAUGUUUAUAUUCUAUGUUUUUUGUUAUAAAACAUCAAAUAUACUUUGUCAGAAAAGUCUUAUUGUAAAAUCAAAAUAAUUGACGGAUAGUUUCAGUAAAUAUUCCGUGAUAUGUGAAGUCCGUUGCAACUUGCUCCAAUAAGUCCAAAGAAAAGAAAAAAGUCGUUCAAUUUUAUGCAGUGCUUAAUAUGCAAAAAAAAAAAACUCAACUGGAAUUUUGAGUCAAUUUAACCAUAUAGGGAAGUCGAUUUUUGUAUCUGCAUCGAAUAAAAGAUUGGAUGAGGUGAACAUGUUUCAUGAAAAGGCACUUGUUUCUGUCAAUAUGGGUUUACUAUCCAUACCCGUACGAAAAAUCACCCGUACGGGUAUGGAUAGUAAACCCCAUAUUGACAGAAACAAGUGCCUAUGAUUUCAUGCGAUAGCUGUUAAUUCGAAGAACUCCGUGCAGGCAGUUUACCAUCGUUCAUGCUACAAAAGUUACACAAGUAACAUAUUUGUGCCCCCUUUUAGAGCGAGGAAGCUUCUUAUCUGAUAUUUAAUGACGACAUACAAUUAUCGGACUGUUGUCCCACAGUUUCGAGUAUUUGUAUGCGUUCUAGAAUGCAGUCGUUCAACUGGAGAGCUUGUACAUUUUGUUGCAACAAAACAUUUAAGAAAUAUCAAAAAAACUACGCAAGUUUGAAUCAGAUGAGCGUAUGAAAAAUGUUUUAUCCGUGUCAGACAAAGUUAAAAUUGAAAUAGUUUUUCCGUCCAUCUUUUAAACUUCAAGCACUCUGUCAUUUUGGUUGCAUUACAAAUCAUUUGCUAAAAACGAAAAAAGACCAAAAUAAAUCCAAACCCGUGGAAGCAGAUAUCUCAGAUCAGGAUACUGCUUUUACUAAUUUUAUUUUGGCUAUUGACAACGAUUUAAUGGUCAUUCCUCGUGACACCGUUACUUGAUAAAUAUAGAUCUACUCUAAUUUAAAAUAUUCUACUUGUAACAUGCGGUCUAAACUUAUUGAUUUCUAUAGAAAUUCAGUUGUCAAACAACAAGUUCAAGGCAAAUAUAACAUAAUAUAUAGUAGCAACAUAACUAUUUGAGAUGCAAUAUAUUCAGCUGCUAGGCAAUUGAAAACUGACCUCAAAAUAUUAAUGUCAACGGUAAUAGACACAAAUAACGGAACGAUAUUUCAUUCCGCUGCAAGUAUACUUAGAAAAGACAUCGAAACUCUAAAGAAGAAUACCCAACUUCGGAUGAAUUGUCUCUUCCUUCUUCAAUUCAUUUUAUAGUUACUCGAUGAAACUGCAUACAGCCAAGACCAUUCUCAGGAAAUGGCACCAGAGAAAUUGCGUAAAUGAUAAGAAAUUGUUAAGUCAAUCGUGUGUGUGGCCAAUUUUGUUUUACUCUUUUUUUAUUUAGGAUUGGCUUUACAAAUGUACCAUGAGUUUGGUUCAAAACACCUUGUUGAAACAUUGAAUGCCAAUGGACUUUAUGCUUCUUAAAGUAAAGUGCGACGCUAUCUGAUGUAUUGCCAACCAUGAAAUUGGAAUUCAAGAUAGUGUGUACAUCUCGUAUAAUGUUUCCUCAGCAUCUUUGCAGACACGCAUAUGGAUGUCAUCACACCUUCCUAAACCCCCUUUUAGAUCUCUGUUAAAUCUUGGAUGAAUUGAUAGGGAUGGUUUGAAGCUGGUAUUUUUUUAGGAACAAAACGGUGGAUGAAAAUUAAGAUGAUGAAGAUAACGAUUGAUUUGGUAUAAAGCUUGUUGCACUGGUACACCCAGGUUACAGGAGCGUUGGUGCGCCCUUAAAAAAGUUUAACCCGGCCACAUUCUGUAUGUGUCAGUUUCAAGUCACGAGAUGGUAAUGCAGUGUUUGUCGUUUGUUUCUAUUUGUUUCUUAUUCAUUUUGUACAUUAAUCGGGCCGUUAGAAUUUUCGUUUGUUUUACAUUAUUUAUUUCGGGAAUUGAAGACUAUGCAGUAUGAAUUUUACUUAUUGUUGAAGCCCGUACGGGACCUAUAAUUGUAAGUUAAUUUAUGUCUCAUUUGCAAUCAUAUCACAUCUUUUUUUUUUAUAUGGAAUACUUUUGAAGUUUGUGGUACGUUGUAAGGAAAAAAAGGGGGGAUAUAUAGGUACAAAACCUAUAAUGUAAUAGAUUUUAAACAGAGUAAAAUACACAACAGAUAAUACUAUGGAAGCAGUAAUAAUUGUGAAAAAAAAACCAAAAGCAACGAGCAAUCUAUAAAAAAAAACCUGAAGUAUCCGCAAAUUCAAUUUGAGGUCAUAUUUGACUGUAGUGUUUUAUUGCUUUGGUUUGAUACCUCACCCAAUAUGAUGGUUUAAAAAAUAAUUUUAAAGUAUUGUCCUGCAUGACACUUGAUGUUUACCUGAAAUUGAAAUUUGUCAUAAGGUUAAGGUGCUCUAAACAUUUUAUAGGUUGAAAACUUGAUUUUUGAAGUUUGGUUUAUAAAACGUCGUUUUAUGAUUUUUUUUGAUAAAAAAAUCUCAAUGAUUAAGGUUUAUGUAUAAUAAAACACAUUACUAAAGCCAAAACAGUAUCAUUUGUAUUUAGGUAGAGUUUAGAAAUAUAAAAAAAUGUCAAAAUAGAAACCCUCCCAAAUUUUCACAGAUUUUUACAUAUGAUCUUUGACCUCAAUUUUAAAAAAAAUGUGACCAUAUCAAGUCUUGACGACAGGCAUAUUAUUAUAGUACACGAUUUCCUCUUUCCAAUGAUAUAUUAUAUAGGUGUGUGUUCGGUGGGGAGAUUAAAUUCAAAAAAAUCUGCCUUCAGUCACCGCACUAACAUGCAUGUAUCAUAAGGCACAGAUAACUGCAUGUGAACAUUAAGCAAACUAUAAAUAAUAGCUGAUUUAACCCUUUUUUACGCAUUCACAAACUGUAUAAAACAUCUUACAUGAGGAAAAGAUGUGUGUAUAUUUCAACAGGUCAGAAACCUAGCAACACAAUAAAACCUGAAUAAAAAAAUUGACAAACAGAGACGACAAAUGAUACCAAAUGGGAGUGUCAAAACUUCAAAUCGAAAAGGGGCCGACAAUAUCAUGCCAAACAAGAGAAAAAGGGACAAAAAGACGAACAACAAUCUACAGAAAACAACAUAAAUAGAGCAAUACAACUCUUACAAAAAAUAUGUUUACUUUAGUCCUAUCUAACAUACGCUACAUGUGACACCCUUCUACCCCAUUACUUUAGUCAUAUCUAUCAUACGCUACAUGUGGCACCCUUCUACCCCAUUCGAAUUUACAGUGUAUUUUCUUUUUACUUUUAGGGUCAACUUAGACAUCUUGAUGUCGUUUUGAUGUUGCUGUAUCUUUUGAUAGCUUACAUUUCAUACAAGGUGCUUUGAUUUAUCAAGAGAGAUCAUCACGAAUC
rnacentral:lncRNA from 1 species